ACUGCUAUUGGGAUUCGACUAAGCCAUGCGAGUCUAUGGACUUCGGUCCAUGGCGGACGGCUCAGUAACACGUGGUUAACCUACCCUUAGGUGGGGGAUAACCUUGGGAAACUGAGGAUAAUACCCCAUAGGAAAAGAGGUUUGGAAUAAUCCUUUUCUGAAAGGACAUCCGCCUAAGGAUGGGACUGCGUCUGAUUAGGUAGUUGGUGGGGUAAUGGCCCACCAAGCCUACGAUCAGUACGGGCCUUGAGAGAGGGAGCCCGGAGAUGGGGACUGAGACACGGCCCCAGGCCCUACGGGGCGCAGCAGGCGCGAAACCUCCACAAUGCACGAAAGUGCGAUGGGGGAAUCCCAAGUGCCUAUGUAAAACAUAGGCUUUUCCCAAGUUUAAACAACUUGGGGAAUAAGGGCUGGGCAAGUCCGGUGCCAGCAGCCGCGGUAACACCGGCGGCCCAAGUGGUAGCCACUCUUAUUGGGCCUAAAGCGUCCGUAGCCGGUUUAGUAAGUCUCUGUUUAAAUCCUACGGCUUAACCGUAGGGCUGGCAGAGAUACUGCUAGACUUGGGACCGGGAGAGGAAGAGGGUACUUCAGGGGUAGCGGUGAAAUGCGUUGAUCCCUGAGGGACCACCUAUGGCGAAGGCACUCUUCUGGAACGGGUCCGACGGUGAGGGGACGAAAGCUAGGGGAGCGAACCGGAUUAGAUACCCGGGUAGUCCUAGCCGUAAACUUUGCAAACUAGGUGUUAUCUGGACCUCGGGUCCAGGUAGUGCCGAANGG
rnacentral:rRNA from 1 species